GACCUGCGGUGCAUUAGCUAGUUGGUAAGGUAACGGCUUACCAAGGCAAUGAUGCAUAGCCGAGUUGAGAGACUGAUCGGCCACAUUGGGACUGAGACACGGCCCAAACUCCUACGGGAGGCAGCAGUAGGGAAUCUUCCACAAUGGACGAAAGUCUGAUGGAGCAACGCCGCGUGAGUGAAGAAGGGUUUCGGCUCGUAAAGCUCUGUUGGUAGUGAAGAAAGAUAGAGGUAGUAACUGGCCUUUAUUUGACGGUAAUUACUUAGAAAGUCACGGCUAACUACGUGCCAGCAGCCGCGGUAAUACGUAGGUGGCAAGCGUUGUCCGGAUUUAUUGGGCGUAAAGCGAGUGCAGGCGGUUCAAUAAGUCUGAUGUGAAAGCCUUCGGCUCAACCGGAGAAUUGCAUCAGAAACUGUUGAACUUGAGUGCAGAAGAGGAGAGUGGAACUCCAUGUGUAGCGGUGGAAUGCGUAGAUAUAUGGAAGAACACCAGUGGCGAAGGCGGCUCUCUGGUCUGCAACUGACGCUGAGGCUCGAAAGCAUGGGUAGCGAACAGGAUUAGAUACCCUGGUAGUCCAUGCCGUAAACGAUGAGUGCUAAGUGUUGGGAGGUUUCCGCCUCUCAGUGCUGCAGCUAACGCA
rnacentral:rRNA from 1 species